GUCGGCCAUGCCACCGUUUAUACUGUUGGGGUGUUGCAACUCGUCCGUUUGUUGUACCAAUUCGACGUAAACAUGGAGACAACUCGACCGUCAGUCAAACCUUCCUUUCAGAAACCAGUUUUACUUCCACAAAUCUGCCCUCGGACACCCAGUACGAAGUGGACAUGGGCAGGUGAAGAUUCACAAUCCCCCCGACUGACAUGACGUUAAGCAGGGUUGCUGCUGUAUUCAAGGUCAGCGUGAAUGUUUCUGCACGCAAGUUUUCAGCUCUGCCCAUACAGUUCCUGUUGUGAUGAUUCAGCCUUCCCAGCCCAUGACUCUGCUCAGGUUUGGUCCAUGUAACUCAGCCCCUAUCCCCUGUUCGCUUUCCUUGCUUCAAGGCAGGUAAGUAUUGUUCUUGUCCAUCAAUCAACCAUAGGAAAUGAAGAACCAAUUCACUUGCCCAAGUUUCCUGAAGGAUUGAAAUGCAUUCAAGCUCUUAAAAACGCAGGAAUGUGUAUCACCUGUUGUGGUAUUUUUAUUUUUUUUUGCUGUCAGAAUUUGAACAGACUUAAAAUGUGUUUGGAGGGACCAGUUUUUAAAUGAUGAGGAUGCUUCACUUAAAUCUUUAAGAACUAGCAGUGUACAAGUUCUUCAAACUCAUUCCAGAGGGGAAACAUCCUCAAAUUAAGGAUCAGAAUCUUAACAUGACAACAAUUCUUCUGCAGUUCAAAGGAUGGGAAGGCCCCUUUUGUGUUUGGUACCAUGCAUACAAUUCUUUUCUACAUUCUUCCGACAGGAGUCGGAGUUGUAGUGUUCAGCAUAAGGAAUUGAUCCAACAUACUUUUGGUGUGUGUGUGUUGAAAUGGUGGGGAAAGAACCUCUUUUUCAACUUUUUCCCGAUCGCAGUAGGUAACUUUCACAGGGCCAUUGGGAGGAAAUUCAUUGAAUCUAUAAUUCUUACGGCUGUACUGAGGGAUG